rnacentral:rRNA from 1 species
AGCGAACGCUGGCGGCAGGCUUAACACAUGCAAGUCGAACGGGCGUAGCAAUACGUCAGUGGCAGACGGGUGAGUAACGCGUGGGAACGUACCUUUUGGUUCGGAACAACCCAGGGAAACUUGGGCUAAUACCGGAUAAGCCCUUACGGGGAAAGAUUUAUCGCCGAAAGAUCGGCCCGCGUCUGAUUAGCUAGUUGGUGAGGUAACGGCUCACCAAGGCGACGAUCAGUAGCUGGUCUGAGAGGAUGAUCAGCCACAUUGGGACUGAGACACGGCCCAAACUCCUACGGGAGGCAGCAGUGGGGAAUAUUGGACAAUGGGCGCAAGCCUGAUCCAGCCAUGCCGCGUGAGUGAUGAAGGCCCUAGGGUUGUAAAGCUCUUUUGUGCGGGAAGAUAAUGACGGUACCG